GAAACCAUCAACAGAACUCUCGUUAGACCUGCUCUGAUCUUUACAGACAAUCUGCACAAAACUCCAGAUAUCUACACAUUUUAUCUGCCAGGUCAGUGCUGAAACUUCCAAAUUCAACCCUGUAAUUUUUGCCUGGAUAUUUCCUGCAGUCACAGCAAACUCUACCCUGGCGAUGAAU